UAGUAUAUCUAUAUCUAGGAUGUAGGGUGCUCUAGGGUACCUUCUCCGCCAAACCUUGCAAAUUUGAACUUAAUAGUUACCUUGGUAGGCUUAACUGCCUGUGGAUAAAUCUAAAUUCUUUAAUAAACUGGCUGUAAUUAAUGCAACUGUCUGAAAUAAUGUUAAUAUUA
rnacentral:misc_RNA from 1 species